rnacentral:misc_RNA from 1 species
UUAACUAUUAUAUAGUACUCAGACGACACUAAUAUAUAGGGUUUGGGUCCUCUGGCGGGCGCUCACCAGCCGGAGCCGGUGGCCUGACCGAGGCCGGACGGCCCGCCAAAGCAACAUAGAUGAUAUAACAUAGGGUGGGAGAUCUACCCUUGCGGGCAAAAACUCUGUAAUGAUCCCUCCGCAGGUUCACCUACGGAGA